GAGAAGAGAAUGCAGCAGCAGCAGCAGCAGCAGCAGCGGCGGCCAGUCUGGCUGCUUAUAGAUGAAAAACCCCCGGAGAGGUUGGACGUCUGGGAUGGCGCGGCGCCAUGUGGAAGCCAUUGAGACCUGGAGCGGCAGAGAACAUGGAAGGUGAGGCCACAUGGUAGUGGUUAUCCCUCGGCUGCUCUGGGUAACCUGACCUGCAGGGGAGGACCCCGCUGCCUCCCAAGGACCGGCCGCCACAUGUGUUGCGUGAGAGUCAGAUGCAGAUCCACCGUCGUCUUGACCACUCGACGAUGUGAUUGAGAGCGUUUCUCCUCGUACAGUUUCCCGCUGCGCCGUGCGGCUGCGAGCCUCAGCGAGGGGAAAAUUCCAUUCUCUCGGCGGAGCAGCAGCAUUCUGCAUGAGCCAAUUCCCAGGAGACGCUGCUCUGCAUGUCCUCCAGACAGCCAAG